rnacentral:rRNA from 1 species
UACAGGGGGGGCAAGCGUUGUUCGGAAUUACUGGGCGUAAAGGGCUCGUAGGCGGCCAACUAAGUCCGACGUGAAAUCCCAAAGCUUAACUUUGGAACUGCGUCGGAUACUGGAUGGCUUGAAUUCGGGAGAGGGAUGCAGAAUUCCAGGUGUAACGGUGAAAUGCGUAGAUAUCUGGAGGAAUACCGGUGGCGAAGGCGGCAUCCUGGACCGACAUUGACGCUGAGGAGCGAAAGCUAGGGGAGCAAACGGG